AGCGGCAAAAGCUCAAAUUUGAAAUCUGGCGCCUUCGGUGUCCGAGUUGUAAUUUGAAGAUUGUAACCUUGGGGUUGGCUCUUGUCUAUGUUUCUUGGAACAGGACGUCACAGAGGGUGAGAAUCCCGUGCGAUGAGAUGCCCAAUCCUAUGUAAGGUGCUUUCGAAGAGUCGAGUUGUUUGGGAAUGCAGCUCUAAGUGGGUGGUAAAUUCCAUCUAAAGCUAAAUAUUGGCGAGAGACCGAUAGCGAACAAGUACAGUGAUGGAAAGAUGAAAAGAACUUUGAAAAGAGAGUGAAAAAGUACGUGAAAUUGUUGAAAGGGAAGGGUUUGAGAUCAGACUCGAUAUUUUGUGAGCCUUGCCUUCGUGGCGGGGUGACCCGCAGCUUAUCGGGCCAGCAUCGGUUUGGGCGGUAGGAUAAUGGCGUAGGAAUGUGACUUUACUUCGGUGAAGUGUUAUAGCCUGCGUUGAUGCUGCCUGCCUAGACCGAGGACUGCGA
rnacentral:rRNA from 1 species